rnacentral:rRNA from 1 species
GCUUAGGGAGGAGCUUGCGUCACAUUAGUUAGUUGGUGGGGUAAAGGCCUACCAAGACUAUGAUGUGUAGCCGGGCUGAGAGGUUGAACGGCCACAUUGGGACUGAGACACGGCCCAAACUCCUACGGGAGGCAGCAGUAGGGAAUUUUCGGCAAUGGAGGAAACUCUGACCGAGCAACGCCGCGUGAACGAUGAAGUAUUUCGGUACGUAAAGUUCUUUUAUUAGGGAAGAAUAAAUGAUGGAAAAAUCAUUCUGACGGUACCUAAUGAAUAAGCCCCGGCUAACUAUGUGCCAGCAGCCGCGGUAAUACAUAGGGGGCAAGCGUUAUCCGGAAUUAUUGGGCGUAAAGGGUGCGUAGGCGGUUAAAUAAGUUUAUGGUCUAAGUGCAAUGCUCAACAUUGUGAUGCUAUAAAAACUGUUUAGCUAGAGUAAGAUAGAGGCAAGUGGAAUUCCAUGUGUAGUGGUAAAAUGCGUAAAUAUAUGGAGGAACACCAGUAGCGAAGGCGGCUUGCUGGGUCUUUACUGACGCUGAGGCACGAAAGCGUGGGGAGCAAACAGGAUUAGAUACCCUGGUAGUCCACGCCGUAAACGAUGAGUACUAAACGUUGGGUAAAACCAGUGUUGAAGUUAACACAUUAAGUACUCCGCCUGAGUAGUACGUACGCAAGUAUGAAACUUAAAGGAAUUGACGGGACUCCGCACAAGCGGUGGAUCAUGUUGUUUAAUUCGAAGGUACCCGAAAAACCUCACCAGGUCUUGACAUGCUUCUGCAAAACUGUAGAAACACAGUGGAGGUUAUCAGUUGCACAGGUGGUGCAUGGUUGUCGUCAGCUCGUGUCGUGAGAUGUUGGGUUAAGUCCCGCAACGAGCGCAACCCUUAUUGUUAGUUACCAGCACGUAAUGGUGGGGACUUUAGCAAGACUGNCGGUGA